rnacentral:rRNA from 1 species
UACGUAGGGGGCUAGCGUUGUCCGGAUUUAUUGGGCGUAAAGAGCGUGUAGGCGGCCAGGUAGGUCCGGUGUGAAAACUCGAGGCUUAACCUCGAGAUGUCAUCGGAAACCAUCUGGCUAGAGUCCGGAAGAGGAAAGUGGAAUUCCUGGUGUAGCGGUGAAAUGCGUAGAUAUCGGGAGGAACACCAGUGGCGAAGGCGACUACCUGGCCUGUUCUUGACGCUGAGGCGCGAAAGCUAGGGGAGCAAACGGG